GGCUCAGAGGGGUUGAGUAACUUUCUCAAGGUCACAUGGAUGCUGAAUGUGGAAGCCAGGACUUGAACUCAAGUCUGUCUGGCUCUGAACCUAAGCUCUGAACCUCUAUGUUAACUCUCUGUAUCCAACUGCUUCCAUCCAGUCUGCAGCUCUGACCUGGCCAGCUAUCUGGCACUUCUGGGCUUUUGGUCCAGGGGAAUGAGGUGAUAACAGCAGGGAUGGCUCCAUGUAGACUCAGCACUGCAGAGGAAAGUACAGCCACCCGAUGGAACAGUGGAGAGGUGGGGAGUGCAGAGCACUGCAGAGGUGGCAGGACAAGAUGACCUGAGUCUAUCCAACCUUGACGUUCAGUGACUUGGCCACCUCGGACCUGUGAAUGGACCUGGCAAAUGCCUAUACUGAACCUUUAGUUUGAAUGGUCUAAAAACCCUGCUGGGAAGGGUAGCAAGAGGCUUUCUGAUAAGCUGCUCUGAAAUGGAGUGAAGACACAAUCCCUGUGUGGCCCAGUGACUGGAGAAAGUGGGAGCCAGGGGAUGAGUCAGCAGUUGGAAAUAGCAUGCCUGACACCAGCAGCAUUCAUAAGCACGUGUCAUCCAGCAGCCAUCCUGUCUGCUCACAGCACCGUGACGCCUUCUCCAGGGGACCUGUGCAGUUUGGGUCCCCCAGGUGAGGCUUGGCAUGGAUCUACAGAGGAGCAGCCAAGAUACCCCUUAACUUCCAAGAGUGAGUCUGGUCCUUGUGAAUUAUUCAGUCAUUCAAGCAAACAGCAGCUGAGCCCCUACACCAUGCUAGCCAUGACUCAGACUCAGUUCACAGGCUGUGGGAGGGAGGCACAUGAAUAAUUACCAUGUGAUGUGCUCAGAUCUGGGGUGGGGACCUGUACAGAGUGACAGAACUCGGGGGACAGGGCAGAGGAGCACAGCCUCAGUGACCUUGGCUAACAGUCCAGAGGAGAACUUGUAGGAAGGAAGGCUGUGGGAAAUGUUCAUGCUUCACUUAGAAGAACGUCUUAUUCCUGAGGAUCCUGGAGAUGUGUCAUAUAGGCUGGGUCUCCCUUAUCUGAAAUGCUUUUAGACAGAAGCAUUUCAGAUUUCGGAUUUUUUUGGAUUUUGGAAUAUUUGCAUUACCCUAUGACCAUCAUUUUCAGCCACAUCUUUACGACACAGAGAAUGAGCAAAACUACGGUUCUCAUAUUACUCAAGAUCUUUUCCCCUCCUGCCCCUUCUGCAUCAGGGUCACUUACCGUGAGAGAGUCACCCAGGGCCCCAAUGACACUGAUGUCAGCCGGCUUCAGCCUGUGAACUGAGAAUACAAGCAGGAGUGAGUGGAAAAUGGGGACGGGGUGUCUAAGAAAGCACUGGACCUAUCUGCUCUGAAGCAAAGGAAUAUCUUCCAGGAUAACAAAGAAAAAGUCAGUUUUUACCAGCAGGACACCUUGGAUAAAAGACAGAAAAAACCCAUCCUUGUCAAUGGGCUCUGCAACGCCAGCCAUGGAGCCUGAGCGCCAGCUUCUUCUCUGGGGCACCUGGACACAGGAACAGGAAGCUGAAAAGCUGGACCCUGCUUUAAGCAGGGAGCUGUGCUUGCAUUUGGUGAGACCUGAUGCUACCAGCUGAGUAGUGGCAGGCCCUUGGCAGGGAGAUGUGGGAGUGGGGAAGGAAUUGCCAUGAAAAUAAAACCAAUACUUCAUCUA